UAUACAUGUUACGGAAUUAUAUUUAUAUGUAUGUAGUUCCAUUCAUAGAUUUUGAGAUUUAUGUUUAUAUGUGUAUAGAGUAACAUAUAUAUAUUUAUAUAUAGGUAUUAAAGUGCAUAGCUAUUUAGUUAGAGGUUUGUGGCAACUUAGAUGCAUAGAUUGAGCUGUGUAGGCCUAGGCUGCAUUUGUACCUCUUUCCCCCUCGGCUGCCUUUUUCACCUCUUGCUUUUCCCCCGGUGCCCCCUGUGUCCCCUGUCCCUGUGCUGGGUCCGAGCUGGCGGCCGGGCCGGGCGGAGCAGCACUUCCAGCCCCGGCUGUCCCUGGAGCGGUGGGAGCUGCCGCUGGCCCCAGGCACUGUCCCCCGAGGAGCUGCUGAAGGACGCUGCAAGGAAGACCUUGAGGACAGCCAGAGACUGACGGGAGGCAGCAGGGAGGAGCUGAAGGCCAGCAGCAAGAGCAGUGAACGGGGACCUGCUGCUGCCAGCCUGGAGAGAGCCCGGAUGUCCCAUCUGCUGUCACUGUCCAGGAGAGCUGCUCUGCACGGGAGGAGGAGACCGAGGGAGAGGCUUUGAAGAUGGGGCAGCUGGGAUCCCUCUGCUUGGAGUGCUGUUUAUAGAUGUUUGGACUUACACCUAGACAGGGAUAAUUAUAUGGAUAUGUACAUGUGCAGGUUUCUAUUUGUAUAGGAAUAUUUCUAUAUGAAUGUUGGUAUAUUUAUGGAUGUAUUAUAUAUAUGUAUGCAUAUAUAUACAUAUGUGUUUGUAAUUACUUACAUGUGUAUAUAUGUAUCUAUGUAUACAUGUACGUUGUUAUAUCUCUGUUUAGUUCUAUUUCCUAGGUUUACAGCUGUGUAGGUGUCUAUUUGUAUUGAUGCAGUUAUAGGUAUAUGUCUCUUUAAAUAGGUAUAAUGGAAUUUGUAUUGGUUGAUAUGUCUCUUUUUGUAUUUUUUAUUGUAGAUUGAUCUUCUGUCUAUUUAAUGUUAUUUACGUAUGUGUCUAGAUGUAUAGAUAUAUUUUUGCAUUGAUACAGUUGGGUGGAUAUUUAGUUUGGUGAUAUUUGUAUAUUUAUAGAUAGGUUUGUUUUAUAUAUCUACUGAUAUAUAUAUUGUAAGUAAUAUGUGAUGUUUUAUCUAUAUUUACACCUUUAGAUUUUUAUACUUGUAUUUAUAUAUAUCUUCAUAUAUGUAUGUUUUUAAUUCAAUUUCAACAUGUAUAGAGUGGUAUAGUUGUGUAAUUCUAUAAAUUGAAUUCUUAUUGUAGGUCUUUUUAGAGAGGGAAUGUGUAUUUUUGUAUUUAUGUGUGGGAUGUGCAUUUGUAGUAAUAGGUAAUAAAUUAAGUCCUUAAACACUUAAUUGAUCUUUGUGUAUAGAGAGUUCUUGUAGAUUUUGGCAAUAAAUAAGUUUUUCUUACCUGAAGUUGGUAUUUGUAGAUCUUUACACAGACUAGUUGUAAUAAUCUAAUAAAUUCCUGGUUUUUAACUUAAACUGAGAUUUGUAUUGUUCUGUAUUGUCAGUGUGGGUGUAGCAAUUUGUA